rnacentral:rRNA from 1 species
GCAUAUCAUAGCGGAGGAAAAGAAUCACAGGGAUUGCCUCAGUAACGGCGAGUGAAGCGGCAACAGCUCAAAUUUGAAAUCUGGCCCCCUCUGGGGGUCCGAGUUGUAAUUUGCAGAGGGUGCUUUGGCAUGGGCGGCGGUCUAAGUUCCUUGGAACAGGACAUCGCAGAGGGUGAGAAUCCCGUAUGUGGGCGCCUGCCUUUGCCGUGUAAAGCCCCUUCGACGAGUCGAGUUGUUUGGGAAUGCAGCUCUAAAUGGGAGGUAAAUUUCUUCUAAAGCUAAAUACCGGCCAGAGACCGAUAGCGCACAAGUAGAGUGAUCGAAAGAUGAAAAGUACUUUGGAAAGAGAGUCAAAUAGCACGUGAAAUUGUUGAAAGGGAAGCGCUUGCAGCCAGACGUGCCCGCAGUUGCUCACCCCGGCUCUUGCCUGGGGCACUCUUCUGCGGGCAGGCCAGCAUCAGUUUGGGCGGUCGGAUAAAGGCCUCUGUCAAGUAUCUUCCUCCGGGAUGACCUUAUAGGGGAGGCGCAAUGCGGCCAGCCCGGACUGAGGUCCGCGCAUUUUUGCUAGGAUGCUGGCGUAAUGGCUGUAAGCGGCCCGUCUUGAAACACGGACCAAGGAGUCUAACAUCUAUGCGAGUGUUUGGGUGUCAAGCCCGGGCGCGUAAUGAAAGUGAACGGAGGUGGGAACCCUUCGGGGUGCACCAUCGACCGAUCCUGAUGUCUUCGGAUGGAUUUGAGUAAGAGCAUAGCUGUUGGGACCCGAAAGAUGGUGAACUAUGCUUGAAUAGGGUGAAGCCAGAGGAAACUCUGGUGGAGGCUCGCAGCGGUUCUGACGUGCAAAUCGAUCGUCAAAUUUGGGCAUAGGGGCGAAAGACUAAAUCGAACCAUCUAGUAGCUGGGUCUGCGAG